rnacentral:rRNA from 1 species
AGGAUAAACGCUGGCGGCGUGCCUAACACAUGCAAGUCGAACGAGUUUUCUGUCUUCGGAGAGAGAGCGAGUGGCGGACGGGUGAGCAACACAUGGGUACCUACCUUGGAGUGAGGGAUACCGGCGAGAAAUCGCCGACAAUACCGCAUACGCUUCUCUUCACCGGGAAGCAAAGUUGCGCAAGCGACGCUUUGAGAUGGGCCUGUGGCCGAUUAGCUAGUUGGUGGGGUAAGAGCCUACCAAGGCGACGAUCGGUAGCUGGUCUGAGAGGACGAUCAGCCACACUGGGAUUGAGAACGGCCCAGACUCCUACGGGGGGCAGCAGUGAGGAAUUUUCCGCAAUGGACGCAAGUCUGACGGAGCAACGCCGCGUGCAGGAUGAAGGUUUUCGGAUCGUAAACUGCUUUUCGUCGGGGACGAGCAAGGGACGGUACCCGAGGAAGAAGCCCCGGCUAACUACGCGCCAGCAGCCGCGGUAA